rnacentral:rRNA from 1 species
UACGUAGGGUGCAAGCGUUGUCCGGAAUUAUUGGGCGUAAAGAGCUCGUAGGCGGUUUGUUGCGUCGGCUGUGAAAUCCCGAGGCUCAACCUCGGGUCUGCAGUCGAUACGAGCAAACUAGAGUGUUGCAGGGGAGACUGGAAUUCCUGGUGUAGCGGUGAAAUGCGCAGAUAUCAGGAGGAACACCGGUGGCGAAGGCGGGUCUCUGGGCAACAACUGACGCUGAGGAGCGAAGGCCAGGGGAGCGAACGGG